GCCCUCGUUGCUGAAUCAUUGGCCAAUCAACCACUAUUUAACGACAUACUAAAAGUAGCACGAAUAUUCCCUGCUCAACAACCCCAAAAAGGCACAAGAGCGAUGAGACGGGCGAAACAAUGGCGGCCGCAUCGACAGCUUCCAAGCCCGAACAGGCACAAGAACCCGCUUCCUCCUUAAACCCCACCAUACCACCAGCUCAACAACGCCUUGCAUCUCCGUUUCUCUACCAAGGCCCACCGUCCCCAAACACCCUACCAGGCUCCAACUACUACAAUCUACCUCAGAACAGCGCCACGGUUAAACCUGCCUCAGCAGCCGCUGCGGCUCAUCCUAGCGUCCAACCCCCGCUUCUUCGCGAACAUUCAACCCAAACCACCCACACCCAAGGUAGAACUGCCGCUACCAUCAUCACCACUGCCACCACUCAACUCACCCCAGUCCAAGGCUCAAUCCCAAGCUCGCCGUUGAUGCGCCCAUCCCGGUUCCCGACACAGGGACAGGGGUCUGGAUUAAGUUAUGCAGGGGCUUAUGGUACAGGAAUGGGACUGGGAAAGGGGCUGGGCGACGGACUGGGUCAACACGCCCACGCUCGAGACAGUAAUUCCGGCGGCAAUGCAGAUGCGCUCUGGAAGCAAAUGCAAAUUACUCUCGCGGAGGUGGAGCUGAGUGCCAUGAGUGGGAACCAUGUUUUCGGCAGGCAGCACGCCCAAGCACUGCAGGAAUUGAGGGAUAAGCAGUUGUCGUUGGCACUGGCAUGGGCGCGGAGUGAGGCUGAUGAGGUUGUGGAGAAUCUGCCGGCUGAUGAGAGUGCAUCUAUCACUUCUGCUACUGUGGCUGGUGCUACUACAACUAGUAAGGGGGU
rnacentral:sRNA from 1 species